UACGGAGGGUGCAAACGUUGCUCGGAAUUAUUGGGCGUAAAGCGCACGUAGGCGGCCGAAUAAGUCGGGUGUGAAAGCCCUGGGCUCAACCCAGGAAGUGCACUCGAUACUGCUCGGCUUGAAUAUGGAAGAGGGUUGCGGAAUUCCCGGUGUAGAGGUGAAAUUCGUAGAUAUCGGGAGGAACACCAGUGGCGAAGGCGGCAACCUGGGCCAAUAUUGACGCUGAGGUGCGAAAGCGUGGGGAGCAAACAGG
rnacentral:rRNA from 1 species